rnacentral:rRNA from 1 species
CCUACGGGAGGCAGCAGUGAGGAAUAUUGGUCAAUGGGCGCGAGCCUGAACCAGCCAAGUAGCGUGAAGGAUGACUGCCCUACGGGUUGUAAACUUCUUUUAUACAGGAAUAAAGUGACGCACGUGUACCUUUUUGUAUGUACUUUAUGAAUAAGGAUCGGCUAACUCCGUGCCAGCAGCCGCGGUAAUACGGAGGAUCCGAGCGUUAUCCGGAUUUAUUGGGUUUAAAGGGAGCGUAGAUGGGUUGUUAAGUCAGUUGUGAAAUUUUGGGGCUCAACCGGAAAAUUGCAAUUGAUACUGGCAGUCUUGAGUACAGUUGAGGUAGGCGGAAUUCGUGGUGUAGCGGUGAAAUGCUUAGAUAUGACGAAGAACUCCGAUUGCGAAGGCAGCUUACUAAAGUGCAACUGACGUUGAUGCUCGAAAGUGUGGGUAUCGAACAGGAUUAGAUACCCUGGUAGUC